rfam:Rattus norvegicus chromosome 2, whole genome shotgun sequence.
GGGGAUUUAGCUCAGCGGUAGAGCGCUUGCCUAGCAGGCGCAAAGCCCUGGGUUCGAUCCCCAGCUCCG